CCCAGGUCCCGAAGGGCGGCAGCCUUCUAACUCCGUCAGGACCCCGAAGGUAGCAGCGGCAUGAGGUGUCUGACGUCGCUUCGUCAGGCCUGGGGCA
rnacentral:SRP_RNA from 1 species